rnacentral:rRNA from 1 species
UACGUAGGGGGCAAGCGUUGUCCGGAAUCAUUGGGCGUAAAGCGCGCGUAGGCGGCUCGAUCAGUCUGCUGUAAAAGUCAAAGGCUCAACCUUUGAAUGCCGGUGGAUACUGUCGGGCUAGAGUCCGGAAGAGGCGAGUGGAAUUCCUGGUGUAGCGGUGGAAUGCGCAGAUAUCAGGAGGAACACCAACGGCGAAGGCAGCUCGCUGGGACGGUACUGACACUAAGGCGCGAAAGCGUGGGGAGCGAACAGG